rnacentral:rRNA from 1 species
GAUGAACGCUGGCGGCGUGCCUAAUACAUGCAAGUCGAGCGAACAGACGAGGAGCUUGCUCCUCUGACGUUAGCGGCGGACGGGUGAGUAACACGUGGAUAACCUACCUAUAAGACUGGGAUAACUUCGGGAAACCGGAGCUAAUACCGGAUAAUAUAUUGAACCGCAUGGUUCAAUAGUGAAAGACGGUUUUGCUGUCUCUUAUAGAUGGAUCCGCGCCGCAUUAGCUAGUUGGUAAGGUAACGGCUUACCAAGGCAACGAUGCGUAGCCGACCUGAGAGGGUGAUCGGCCACACUGGAACUGAGACACGGUCCAGACUCCUACGGGAGGCAGCAGUAGGGAAUCUUCCGCAAUGGGCGAAAGCUUGACGGAGCAACGCCGCGUGAGUGAUGAAGGUCUUCGGAUCGUAAAGCUCUGUUAUUAGGGAAGAACAAAUGUGUAAGUAACUAUGCACGUCUUGACGGUACCUAAUCAGAAAGCCACGGCUAACUACGUG